rnacentral:miRNA from 1 species
GCAUGGCACUCGGGGUGGGGCAGGUGGGGGGCGGGUGGUCCCAGCCUUGGCCCUCGGUGGCCGCCAGCAGGGCCUCGGGG